GACAGCAGUAGCCGCGGGAAUACGAAGGGUGCAAGCGUUACUCGGAAUUACUGGGCGUAAAGCGUGCGUAGGUGGUGGUUUAAGUCCGUUGUGAAAGCCCUGGGCUCAACCUGGGAAUUGCAGUGGAUACUGGGUCACUAGAGUGUGGUAGAGGAUAGUGGAAUUUCCGGUGUAGCAGUGAAAUGCGUAGAGAUCGGAAGGAACAUCUGUGGCGAAGGCGACUAUCUGGGCCAACACUGACACUGAGGCACGAAAGCGUGGGGAGCAAACAGGAUUAGAUACCCCAGUAGUCCCUGUCUCUUAUAC
rnacentral:rRNA from 1 species